UUAAAUUGAAGAGUUUGAUCAUGGCUCAGAUUGAACGCUGGCGGCAGGCCUAACACAUGCAAGUCGAACGGUAACAGGAAGAAGCUUGCUUCUUUGCUGACGAGUGGCGGACGGGUGAGUAAUGUCUGGGAAACUGCCUGAUGGAGGGGGAUAACUACUGGAAACGGUAGCUAAUACCGCAUAACGUCGCAAG
rnacentral:rRNA from 1 species